AGCGAACGCUGGCGGCAGGCCUAACACAUGCAAGUCGAACGAAGUCUUCGGACUUAGUGGCGGACGGGUGAGUAACACGUGGGAACGUGCCUUUAGGUUCGGAAUAACUCAGGGAAACUUGUGCUAAUACCGAAUGUGCCCAUCGGGGGAAAGAUUUAUCGCCUUUAGAGCGGCCCGCGUCUGCUUGGCUAGUUGGUGAGGUAAAGGCUCACCAAGGCGACGAUAAGUAGCUGGUCUGAGAGGAUGAUCAGCCACAUUGAGACUGAGACACGGCCGAAACUCCUACGGGAGGCAGCAUUGGGGAAUCUUGCGCAAUGGGCGAAAGCCUGACGCUGCCAUGCCGCGUGAAUGAUGAAGGUCUUAGGAUUGUAAAAUUCUUUCACCGGGGACGAUAAUGACGGUACCCGGAGAAGAAGCCCCGGCUAACUUCGUGCCAGCCGCCGCUGUAACAC
rnacentral:rRNA from 1 species